UACGUAGGGGGCAAGCGUUGUCCGGAAUCAUUGGGCGUAAAGCGCGUGUAGGCGGCUUGGUAAGUCCGCUCUGAAAGCCCGGGGCUCAACCCCGGGGAGGCGGGUGGAUACUGUCAAGCUCGAGUCCGGAAGAGGCGAGUGGAAUUCCUGGUGUAGCGGUGAAAUGCGCAGAUAUCAGGAGGAACACCAAUGGCGAAGGCAGCUCGCUGGGACGUGACUGACGCUGAGACGCGAAAGCGUGGGGAGCAAACAGG
rnacentral:rRNA from 1 species